GUAGGUGAACCUGCGGAAGGAUCAUUAACAAAUUAUGUGGGAUUUAUUUCCAUAAGCGCGGCAGCUUUGGCUGUCGGUGGCGCCUUUGCCUGAGGGUGAGGGUGUCGAGGGAGAGUGGCGGCGCGGUCACUGUUGUUGUAACUAACUGCUGUGCGUCGUGUGCUGCUCUUUUCUCAUAUUUGCGCUCAAUUGUUGUGUGUGUUUGUUGGGUUGACUGAUUGACAACUUAAUGUGUAAUAAACAACUUUUA
rnacentral:misc_RNA from 1 species